CCACCCAAUGCACCGCCAACACCCGCUUCGGUGUUGCCUGCAAAGGCUUGUCCAGCACUAAGGCCGAGGGUCAGUAACAGAAUUGAUGAGUACUUCAUAUCAGCUCGCUCAAGUGGAUAUCACGCGCCGAUCCUCAUGUUUGUGUGCUGUGUCAGGCAAGCAAAACCCGACGAAUAGUCGGGUUUGCGCACAUAAUUUAACUAUCUGUUUUUAAACAAGAACUUUUGUGAAAACGGGCAGUCUUAAACCUGUUUAGGGCAUUUGAGUUCGCCUGUUUUCAGGCCGUUUUAUGCGCUUUUAACCUCAGAUAAUGCGCU
rfam:Vibrio sp. J237 Contig_8, whole genome shotgun sequence.